rnacentral:rRNA from 1 species
GGCGAGUGAAGCGGCAACAGCUCAAAUUUGAAAUCUGGCCCUUGUGGUCCGAGUUGUAAUUUGUAGAGGAUGCUUUUGGUGAGGUACCUUCCGAGUUCCCUGGAACGGGACGCCAUAGAGGGUGAGAGCCCCGUCUGGUUGGAUACCGAGCCUCUGUAAAGCUCCUUCGACGAGUCGAGUAGUUUGGGAAUGCUGCUCUAAAUGGGAGGUAUAUGUCUUCUAAAGCUAAAUAUUGGCCAGAGACCGAUAGCGCACAAGUAGAGUGAUCGAAAGAUGAAAAGCACUUUGAAAAGAGGGUUAAAUAGUACGUGAAAUUGUUGAAAGGGAAGCGCUUGUGACCAGACUUGGGCUUGGUUAAUCAUCCAGGGUUCUCCCUGGUGCACUUGGCCAGCCCAGGCCAGCAUCAGUUUGUCGCGGGGGAUAAAGGCGUCGGGAAUGUGGCUCCCCCGGGAGUGUUAUAGCCCUUCGUGUAAUACCCUGCUUUAGACUGAGGUUCGCGCAUCUGCAAGGAUGCUGGCGUAAUGGUCAUCAGCGACCCGUCUUGAAACACGGACCAAGGAGUCGUCUUCGUAUGCGAGUGUUCGGGUGUCAAACCCCUACGCGUAAUGAAAGUGAACGCAGGUGAGAGCUUCGGCGCAUCAUCGACCGAUCCUGAUGUUCUCGGAUGGAUUUGAGUAAGAGCAUACGGGGCCGGACCCGAAAGAAGGUGAACUAUGCCUGUGUAGGGUGAAGCCAGAGGAAACUCUGGUGGAGGCUCGCAGCGGUUCUGACGUGCAAAUCGAUCGUCAAACA